rnacentral:rRNA from 1 species
ACGCUCGACACCUACGGGAGCAGCAGUUGGGAAUAUUGGACAAUGGAGGAAACUCUGAUCCAGUGACGCCGCGUGAAGGAAGAAGGUCUUCGGAUUGUAAACUUAUUUUGUCAGGGAAGAAAAAUGACUGUACCUGAAGAAAAAGCACCGGCUAACUACGUGCCGGCAGCCUGGAGUACUGNGNGGCGNGNGAGAG